rnacentral:rRNA from 1 species
CCCUUAGAUGUCCUGGGCCGCACGCGCGCUACACUGACGGAGUCAACGAGUUGUCCUGCAUCGGAAGGUGUGGGUAAUCUUUUGAAACUUCGUCGUGCUGGGGAUAGAUCUUUGCAAUUUUCGAUCUUGAACGAGGAAUUCCUAGUAAGCGUGAUUCAUCAGAUCGCGUUGAUUACGUCCCUGCCCUUUGUACACACCGCCCGUCGCUACUACCGAUUGAAUGGUUUAGUGAGGCCUCGGGACUGGCGCGCUCGAGUAGCAAUACACCUGCGCGCCGGGAACUUGGUCAAACUUGAUCAUUUAGAGGAAGUAAAAGUCGUAACA